UAAGGAAUAUUGCUCAAUGGGAGAAAUCCUGAAGCAGCAACGCCGCGUGGAGGAUGAAGGGUCUAUGACUUGUAAACUCCUGUAAAGAAGGAAAAAAUUCCCAUUUGAUGGGAGAUGAUGGUACUUCUGGAGUAAGCCCCGGCUAACUACGUGCCAGCAGCCGCGGUAAUACGGAGGGUGCAAGCGUUAUCCGGAUUUAUUGGGUUUAAAGGGUCCGUAGGCGGACUUAUAAGUCAGUGGUGAAAGCCUGUCGCUUAACGAUAGAACUGCCAUUGAUACUGUAAGUCUUGAGUAUAUUUGAGGUAGCUGGAAUAAGUAGUGUAGCGGUGAAAUGCAUAGAUAUUACUUAGAACACCAAUUGCGAAGGCAGGUUACCAAGAUAUAACUGACGCUGAGGGACGAAAGCGUGGGGAGCGAACA
rnacentral:rRNA from 1 species